rnacentral:lncRNA from 1 species
UUUGUAUAUUUACAGAUUGUUGAAAUGGACACUGUUGACUUAGAGUUUGGGAGUUGUGACAAUGUUGAUUUGAAUGUAGGAGAGAGUGGUGAUGAUAUAGAGUUUCAAGUAGAGAAUGAGUUAGAAGAGUCAAUGUCCAUUUAUAAUCCUCAAGUAAGACUUGAGCUAAAGCCCAAAAUGGGACAACAAUUUGAAACAUUAGAGGAUGCCAAAAUUUUUUACAAUGCAUAUGCAAAAGAGGCCGGAUUUAAUAUUUGAAGUUGGACCCA